CAGGACUCUUGCUGUAAACAAUUUUACUGGAGAGUUCCCUGAUCUCACUAGUCUCACCAAGUUAAAAGAACUAAGGAUCAGUAGUAACUACUUCACAGGAAGGAUGCCUGAGUUUGGCAAUUUGAAACAGCUUCAGAAGUUGAUGAUUCUGAGGUUUGCUAUCAGUUUUCC